rnacentral:rRNA from 1 species
UUGACCUCGGAUCAGGUAGGGAUACCCGCUGAACUUAAGCAUAUCAUAGGGGGGAGGAAA